rnacentral:rRNA from 1 species
UACGUAGGGUGCGAGCGUUGUCCGGAAUUACUGGGCGUAAAGCGCACGUAGGCGGCUUUGUAAGUUAGAGGUGAAAGCCCAGGGCUUAACCCUGGAAUUGCCUUUAAGACUGCAUCGCUAGAAUCGUGGAGAGGUGAGUGGAAUUCCGAGUGUAGAGGUGAAAUUCGUAGAUAUUCGGAAGAACACCAGUGGCGAAGGCGACUCACUGGACACGUAUUGACGCUGAGGUGCGAAAGCGUGGGGAGCAAACAGG